rnacentral:lncRNA from 1 species
GUGAAGGCCUCUAAUUUUAAGAAGACAAACAUGGCAUCCAGUGCCCAGAGAAAAAGGAUGAGCCCUAAGCCUGAACUUACUGAAGAACAGAAACAGGAAAUCCGGGAAGCUUUUGAUCUCUUUGAUGCUGAUGGAACUGGAACUAUAGACAUGAAGGAACUAAAGGUGGCAAUGAGGGCCCUGGGCUUUGAACCCAAGAAAGAAGAAAUCAAGAAAAUGAUAAGUGAAAUCGAUAAAGAAGGAACAGGAAAAAUGAACUUCAGUGACUUUUUGACAGUGAUGACUCAGAAAAUGUCUGAGAAAGACACCAAAGAAGAAAUCCUGAAAGCUUUCAAGCUGUUUGAUGAUGAUGAGACUGGAAAAAUAUCGUUCAAGAAUCUUAAGCGUGUGGCCAAGGAGCUGGGCGAGAACCUGACAGAUGAGGAGCUCCAGGUGACAAGUGGGCUCUGGUUUUCCUGGGUUCUAUUUUCUCUAUUUUCUUUCUUGGAAGGAAAGGUAGUAUCCUGCAUACCUUUGGUGAUAAUUUCCUGCCCAUGGACUCUGUCUUUAGAAUGUAC